GAUGAACGCUGGCGGCGUGCCUAAUACAUGCAAGUCGAGCGAACAGACGAGGAGCUUGCUCCUCUGACGUUAGCGGCGGACGGGUGAGUAACACGUGGAUAACCUACCUAUAAGACUGGGAUAACUUCGGGAAACCGGAUCUAAUCCCGGAUAAUAUAUUGAACCGCAUGGUUCAAUAGUGAAAGACGGUUUUGCUGUCACUUCUAGAUGGAUCCGCGCCGCAUUAGCUAGUUGGUAAGGUAACGGCUUACCAAGGCGACGAUGCGUAGCCGACCUGAGAGGGUGAUAGGCGACACUGGAACUGAGACACGGUCCAGACGCCUAAGGGAGGCAGCAGUAGGGAAUCUGCCGCAAUGGGCGAAAGCAUGACGGAGCAACGCCGCGUGAGUGAUGAAGGUCUUCGGAUCGUAAAACUCUGUUAUGAGGGAAGAACAAAUGUGUAAGUAACUAUGCACGUCUUGACGGUACCUAAUCAGAAAGCCACGGCUAACUACGUG
rnacentral:rRNA from 1 species